CGGUGUCAAUGAGCUUCUCAUCAAGAUAGCUGAAAGUGAAGGACUUUGGGUCAUGCAAGAGUGCAUAACCAAGGAACGAAGCAGGCAGUACGCGGUGCUGUACCUUUGCUACUCAGUGGAGUAGGCGGUAGGGUUGAUGGAGAAGACGGUACAAUCCCAGAGGCGACCAAACCUAUGAGAGAAUUACUCCAAGUUGGGGUGAAAACUUCCUGUAUUCCAAAAGUUCGAUGGCAUUGAGAAGGUGAAUCACAGUAACUAACUCAACGCAAGGAGUGCAAACACUUCAUGUGCUUCAGAAGUGUGAGCAAAGAGCAGGCGAAGGCCAGUAACCAGCUCGAUGCAUGGAGUACAACCUCGAGGAGGCGGGCGAAGUCAAGUAACCUUUGCCUUCUCAACUCUUAAGAGAAUGGGCGAAACUGAGUACCCCAAUUCUCUUU
rnacentral:lncRNA from 1 species